rnacentral:rRNA from 1 species
CCCUUAGAUGUUCUGGGCUGCACGCGCGCUACACUGAUGCGUUCAACGAGUAUAUAACCUUGCCCGAUAGGGUUGGGUAAUCUUCUGAAAACGCAUCGUGAUGGGGAUAGAUUAUUGUAAUUAUUAAUCUUCAACGAGGAAUUCCUAGUAAGCGUGAAUCAUCAGUUCAUGCUGAUUACGUCCCUGCCCUUUGUACACACCGCCCGUCGCUCCUACCGAUUGAGUGGUCCGGUGAAUAAUUCGGACCUACGAGACUAGGGGUUCGCUCCUUAUCUUGUGGGAAAGUCUAGUGAACCUUAUCACUUAGAGGAAGGAGAANUCGUAACA